rnacentral:rRNA from 1 species
UACGUAGGGCGCAAGCGUUGUCCGGAAUUAUUGGGCGUAAAGAGCUCGUAGGCGGUCUGUCGCGUCGGCUGUGAAAACCCGGGGCUCAACCCCGGGCCUGCAGUCGAUACGGGCAGACUAGAGUGCGGUAGGGGAGACUGGAAUUCCUGGUGUAGCGGUGAAAUGCGCAGAUAUCAGGAGGAACACCCGUGGCGAAGGCGGCUCUCUGGGACGGUACUGACGCUGAGACGCGAAAGCGUGGGGAGCGAACAGG